GAAAAGGUGAUGAGAAAGAGGAGUACAUCCUGGAUUCUGACAGAGAGAACGAUCCACCGGCUGCAAGGUCGUUUCAGGGGAAUGGAUGGAAGGUAGCUUUUGAACCGGAGGGCUGAACUGUGUGGUUUGUAAAGGAUGAAUCAGGAGUAGGCCUUCACGCGUAGUCUGCGUUAACGGACAUGAGUGAGAAAAAAAGGUGGUACCGCGGAAUAUUUCGCCCUUUAC
rnacentral:ncRNA from 1 species